GGGUGGGUCCGGCGCGGCGAGACCCUGUGAACCCCGCCAGGUCCGAGAGGAAGCAACGGUAAGCAGUGCGUUUUGGGCGCCGCCGGUCAGCCUGCCCGGA
rnacentral:SRP_RNA from 1 species